CAAGUACUCCCUCCGUCCGGAAUUACUUGUCAUCAAAAUGGGUGUGUCUAGAACUAAAAUACAUCUAGAUACAUCCAUUUCAAUGACAAGUAUUUUUGGACAGAGGGAGUACAAG
rfam:Triticum aestivum genome assembly, contig: Triticum_aestivum_CS42_TGACv1_scaffold_404269_5BL